AAAUGGGAAAAUAAAAAUUUUAAAUCAUAUCAAACCACUAUUUUAAUGGUUUGAAAAGCUAUGGUAAAAUAAUGGUUAAAACACCAAACCCUUGUUUGUUAGGAACAAUCUUAUCAAAUAUAUAUAUAGAUUAACCAUACUAUACAGUAUGAAACCAUGUUCUAAACAUAACUUUAAGAAAAAGUAUUAAAAGUUAAUGAUGCACAUUA
rnacentral:misc_RNA from 1 species